GUAGGGAAUAUUGGGCAAUGGAUGCAAGUCUGACCCAGCCAUCCCGCGUGCCGGAAGAAGGCCCUCAGGGUUGUAAACGGCUUUUGACGGUGAAGAAUCGACAGGAUGCGUCCUGUUUUGACGGUAGCCGUUGAAUAAGCACCGGCUAACUCCGUGCCAGCAGCCGCGGUAAUACGGAGGGUGCGAGCGUUGUCCGGAUUUAUUGGGUUUUAAGGGUGCGUAGGCUGGAAGGUCAGUCAGCGGUGAAAAGCUGUCGCUUAACGAUAGUCUUGCCGCAGAUACUUCCUUUCUUGGAUGAGGAGGAGGCCACUGGAACGGAUGGUGUAGCGGUGAAAUGCAUAGAUAUCAUCCAGAACACCGAUUGCGAAGGCAGGUGGCUGUACCUUAAUCGACGCUGAUGCACGAAAGCAUGGGGAACAAACAGGAUUAGAAACCCUGGUAGUCC
rnacentral:rRNA from 1 species